rnacentral:rRNA from 1 species
UACGUAGGGGGCAAGCGUUGUCCGGAUUAUUGGGCGUAAAGAGCGUGUAGGCGGCCUUACAGGUCAGCUGUGAAAACUCGAGGCUCAACCUCGAGACGUCGGUUGAAACCGUAAGGCUAGAGUCCGGAAGAGGAGAGUGGAAUUCCCGGUGUAGCGGUGAAAUGCGCAGAUAUCGGGAAGAACACCCGUGGCGAAGGCGGCUCUCUGGGACGGUACUGACGCUGAGACGCGAAAGCGUGGGGAGCGAACAGG